CCAAUAGCGUAUAUUAAAGUUGUUGCAGUUAAAAAGCUCGUAGUUGAAUUUCGGGGUUAGUAGGUUGGUCAUGCCUCUGGUAUGUACUGAUCUCACUGAUUCCUCCCUCUUGACGAACUGUAAUGUCAUUAAUUUGGUGUUGCAGGAAAUCAGGACUGUUACUUUGAAAAAAUUAGAGUGUUUAUAGCAGGCUAAGGCUUGAAUACAUUAGCAUGGAAUAAUGAAAUAGGACGUUUGAUCCUAUUUUGUUGGUUUCUAGGAUUGACGUAAUGAUUAAUAGGGUUAGUUGGGGGCAUUAGUAUUCAAUUGUCAGAGGUGAAAUUCUUGGAUUUAUUGAAGACUAACUACUGCGAAAGCAUUUGCCAAGGAUGUUUUCAUUAAUCAAGAACGAAAGUUAGGGGAUCGAAGACGAUCAGAUACCGUCGUAGUCUUAACCAUAAACUAUGCCGACUAGGGAUCGGAUGAUGUUAAUUUUUUAAUGACUCAUUCGGCGCCUUACG
rnacentral:rRNA from 1 species